UACGUAGGCAGCAAGCGUUGUUCGGAGUUACUGGGCGUAAAGGGUGUGUAGGCGGUUCUUUAAGUUUGCUGUGAAAUCUCCCGGCUUAACCGGGAGGGUGCGGUGAAUACUGAGGGACUAGAGUACGGGAGAGGAAAGUGGAAUUCCUGGUGUAGCGGUGAAAUGCGUAGAUAUCAGGAGGAACACCGGUGGUGUAGACGGCUUCUGGACCGUAACUGACGCUGGAGACACGAAAGCCGUGGGUAGCAAACAGG
rnacentral:rRNA from 1 species